CCUACGGGGGACAGCAGUCGAGAAUCAUUCACAAUGGGGGAAACCCUGAUGGUGCGACGCCGCGUGGGGGAAUGAAGGUCUUCGGAUUGUAAACCCCUGUCAUGGGGGAGCAAAUUAAAAAGAUAGUACCACAAGAGGAAGAGACGGCUAACUCUGUGCCAGCACCCGCGGUAAUCCAGAGGUCUCAAGCGUUGUUCGGAAUCACUGGGCGUAAAGCGUGCGUAGGCUGUUUCGUAAGUCGUGUGUGAAAGGCGCGGGCUCAACCCGCGGACGGCACAUGAUACUGCGAGACUAGAGUAAUGGAGGGGGAACCGGAAUUCUCGGUGUAGCAGUGAAAUGCGUAGAUAUCGAGAGGAACACUCGUGGCGAAGGCGGGUUCCUGGACAUUAACUGACGCUGAGGCACGAAGGCCAGGGGAGCGAAAGGGAUUAGAUACCCGAGUAGUC
rnacentral:rRNA from 1 species